rnacentral:misc_RNA from 1 species
GGGAGAUGUGUGCCGUAGAGCCUAAGAAAACAAAUGCACCAUUGGAAAGGAUAUGAAAGGCUAUGAGGGUAUGUUAUUUAUUUGUUUUACAGCUAUGUUGUUCCAAAUCAUCUGGUAUGUAACCAGAUUUCGUAGUUUAAAUAAAUCAAAAGAUGUUUGCAAUUCCAAGCACUAUUUUUGUGGGUUUUGUAAUUGGAUGGCCUG